rnacentral:rRNA from 1 species
UACAGAGGGUGCGAGCGUUAAUCGGAAUUAUUGGGCGUAAAGAGCUCGUAGGCGGCUUGUCGCGUCGGCUGUGAAAACCUAGGGCUCAACCCUGGGCCUGCAGCCGAUACGGGCAAGCUAGAAUUCGGUAGGGGAGACUGGAAUUCCUGGUGUAGCGGUGAAAUGCGCAGAUAUCAGGAGGAACACCGGUGGCGAAGGCGGGUCUCUGGGCCGAUAUUGACGCUGAGGAGCGAAAGCGUGGGGAGCGAACAGG